UACGGAGGGUGCGAGCGUUGUCCGGAAUCACUGGGCGUAAAGGGCGCGUAGGCGGCAUGGCAAGUGGAAGGUGAAAUCCCUCGGCUUAACCGAGGAACUGCCCUCCAAACUGCUUUGCUUGAGGCCGGGAGAGGUGAGUGGAAUUCCCAGUGUAGCGGUGAAAUGCGUAGAUAUUGGGAGGAACACCAGUGGCGAAGGCGGCUCACUGGACCGGUUCUGACGCUGAUGCGCGAAAGCGUGGGGAGCAAACGGG
rnacentral:rRNA from 1 species